AAGGUUUUAGCUUAAUUAAAGUGUCUGUUUUGCAUACAGGAGAUGUGGAUUAAUGAUCUGCAAAUCUUA
rnacentral:tRNA from 2 species